rnacentral:rRNA from 1 species
UACAGAGGUCUCAAGCGUUGUUCGGAUUCAUUGGGCGUAAAGGGUGCGUAGGCGGUAUCGUAAGUCGGAUGUGAAAUCUUGGGGCUCAACCUCAAAACUGCAUUCGAUACUGCGAUGCUAGAGGACUGGAGAGGAGAGUGGAAUUCACGGUGUAGCAGUGAAAUGCGUAGAUAUCGUGAGGAAGACCAGCGGCGAAGGCGGCUCUCUGGACAGUUCCUGACGCUGAUGCACGAAGGCCAGGGGAGCAAACGGG